rnacentral:rRNA from 1 species
UGACCAAAUUACGUGCCAGCAGUCGCGGUAAUACGUAGAAGACUAGUGUUAUUCAUGUUUAAUCGGUUUAAAGGGUACCUAGACGGCAGAUCAAGCUUUCCGAGAAGAAAAAAAAAAGAAAAAAGGACUAAUUUGCUAGAGUUACUUACGAGGGGGUUUUAAAGUACUGCUGGUGUAGAGAUGAAAUUCUGUCAUACCUCUUUUCGAAAGAAAAAUUAUGGCACAGGUAUAGGCGAAGGCAUCCCCUUAUGUGAUAACUGACGUUGAGGGACGAAGGCUUUAUAUAACGAACAGGAUUAGAUACCCCAGUAGUGGAAGCAGUAAAUGAUGAAUGUCAUAGAUUAGCUAGAUAGGUUCAUUCUAUAAAUGAAAGUGUAAGCAUUCCACCUCAUGAGUAAUUUGGCAACAUUGGAAUUGAAAUCAUUAGACCGUUUCUGAAACCAGUAGUGAAGUAUGUUGUUUAAUUUGAUGAUCCGCAAAAAACCUUACCACAAUUUGAAUAUUUAUAUUUUUUUUUAUUGUUUUCUUAUUAAUUUUCUUCUCUUUAAUUUAAUAACAAAGUAUUAAAGAAAAGAGGAAAAUAUUUAAUGCAGAGGCAAUAAGAUAUAUUUACAAGCGUUGCACGGCUG